CCCUCUGUCCCUAUCUACUAUCUAGCGAAACCACUGCCAAGGGAACGGGCUUGGAAAAAUCAGCGGGGAAAGAAGACCCUGUUGAGCUUGACUCUAGUCUGGCACUGUAAGGAGACAUGAGAGGUGUAGCAUAAGUGGGAGACGGUAUCCAUCCCGUCGCCGGUGAAAUACCACUACUUUCAUCGUUUCUUUACUUACUUGGUUAGGCGGAGGGCGUUCGUCGUGGGUACACACCCCGGCGGUACGGUCUUCUCGCGCCAAGCGUUCAAGGGUUGCCGGCGGACAGAAGUGCGGGUCGACGUCGGUGAGUCGUGUAACCAGGUAACUGGCCACGGCCCGGCGACGGCUUUAGCACGCUCUGAACCCGACCGGCAAACACUCCCUAGCGUGAUCCGAUCCGAGGACACUGCCAGGCGGGGAGUUUGACUGGGGCGGUACAUCUGUCAAAGAAUAACGCAGGUGUCCUAAGGCCAGCUCAGCGAGGACAGAAACCUCGCGUAGAGCAAAAGGGCAAAUGCUGGCUUGAUCCCGAUGUUCAGUACGCAUAGGGACUGCGAAAGCACGGCCUAUCGAUCCUUUUGGCUUGAAGAGUUUUCAGCAAGAGGUGUCAGAAAAGUUACCACAGGGAUAA
rnacentral:rRNA from 1 species